AGGUUACGUUUCUGAAUUGACAAAACGGAGUGAAAAGGGCGUCAACCAGCUUCGAGAUUGAGGUUAUUUUGCAUCUGUAUUUGGAGAGGAAAGAUCCAAGAUGUCUGGCGGAGGAAGCGAUAUGACUCUUAGAAAGACUGUUGAUCAGCUGAGACGAGAAGCAAACAUUGAAAGAUGUAAAUUGUCACAAGUGGCUGCCGAACUUCUUAACUAUUGUGAGCAGAAUGUCGGUAAUGACUAUCUACUGACCGGCAUCCCCCUUCCUGGUGUGACGAACCCUUACAAGGAGAAGAAAAUUGGAUGCAGUAUCAUUUGAGGUCGUUACAGAUGCCCUUUUUUCUACACAUCGAUAUCCCACUCUAGAUGAAAAUCCUUGCAUCUUUUCUACACCUGUCCCGCUUUGCGACCCACAGUAUCGGAGAUGUACCUAGCACCCGACCUAGCAUUUUUUUUUUUCAACUCACGCUUCAUGCUGCUGCUUCAACCUUACAAUGUGCUUGUAUAUAUUUAUCACUUGUGACCGCCGAGCUUGCAAUCCAUAAUCAGUUGCAAAACAAUGUUAAAAUGCCAAACUUGUUUAGACAGAUGUGGGUGAUUCCAUCAGGUUUCAUCCAAAAUGAUAUCUAGGGACAGUGACUUUCCAUUUACUGGUAAAUAAAACGGAAAUUCCGUUUGGUUGUUCUACUUUUCAUGUAAAAAAUUCAUGAAAUUCACCCUUGCAAAAGGGAAUUCAGGUUUUUGCUGCGUACGUUUUCAGUGACAAAACAGAAUUUUCAUUUUAAGAUCAAGUUGAAACGGAAUUUAACGGAAAAUACCAGUUUUUGAAACGGAAAAUUACUGUCUGUAGAUGUCUUUUUAAUGUGGAGUAGAUCCGCAUCAACUGUUGUAUUUCACAAUGAAGAUCAAUCAAUGAAGAUCAAUUUUAAUGAGUCAAUGUGAGGUAAGCCUCCUACCAUAGUAAUUCAUGUUUGAUCGUGAAAUCUUUUCUGUAUUUCUUGUAGAUUUGGCUAGUUUACAUGAGACACAGUUUUUUCGAUUCUGGAAUGUCAAGAAAAAUGGACCCAACCCGAUGGAAUAACCCAUGUACAUUACAUUCCAAGGCUCUGGUAUAUUACAAGAUGAAAGUGACAAUCAUCCUACAUGUAUUUCUUGUAAAUUUCAGAGUUACAUGAACUGGCAUUCCUUAAUAACAGAUCUACAUGUAUUCCAUUCUUUUAUUCCUAGCUGAUUACACACAAAUAUACAACCAAAAUGUAAGUUAUACUACUGUGUAAUCUUCGGGUUACUACUGUCCAGUGUGAUUUAAUGCCUGCAUGUUCCUUAUCGUGUGAACGUGCCUCUGAUUUUGUUAAUUGAGAUUGUUUUACAUUGGUAAAGGCUCUGUCAUAUUGUUCCUGCAGCAAAGAUAUUCAUGAGCAUGUUCAAAACUUUUCUGUGUGCAAAUUUUAUACUUGUGCGCUUCUGCGGGCAACUGCGUGUGACAUACGUGCGAGAUACUGUCAAUGCAGGCUAUCUGUGAGUAGCAGAAAUAGUCACCCUUCGGUCACAUGCAAGGCCUUCAUGGAAUAAUGUGACAGUGCCUUAACAUUAGACUGUACAACUUUAACAUUACAACCAUAACAUUAGACUGUUCACUUCUGGCGACUAUUUGUAUGUUGUAAUAUGUAAGCUGGGCGGCCACAUUUAUUUAUUGACAUUCCUCUUUGUUACAUAAUUAUAUGGUUGUGUUCAAAACGGUUUGCUGUUCUUCUAUGCCCCUUUUGAGUUAUAUAGCUGAAGUUAUGAUCAAUUGCACUUUGAGAUUGAUUUGAAUCUAUUGCAACUCUUUAAGACAGGAACCCUAAGUCCUUGACCUUGCCUUGGCCAGUCAUACCUUGGAUUUAUGGUCCGAUAGGAGUCAAUUGAUUGGGAAGUUAAAUUUUAUCAAAGGAUUGGUUUUUAUAUUCCUUUUUUAAUCCCUAAAGAUCCAUAACGUGACUGGGCUGAUGAAACCUUUUAUCUCAAAAUUUAAAUAUUAUGAUGACAGCUAAGCAUAAGUUAGAUUUUAGAGGUAUAACAUGGGUAGCAACCUUUUGCCUCAAAGAAUUCUUCACAGGUAUCAGGAAACUGUUUCACAGACAGUGUGAGACUGCCACCGUUGUUAUAUUUAUUUAGAAAAAAAACAGCCAUUCCAAAGCUGCCAUAAUUUUUAUAGAUUUUGAAGUACAAGGUUUUGUCAGCACAGCCAUGAUAAUUUCAGUGUAAAAUCCAUACAAAAGACUUACCCCCCAAUUAAAGGGUGAGAACAUUUACAUUUGUAACCAAUAGCUACAUGUGCAUGUGUAUUCUAAGGCACAAGUCAGUAAUUUUUAGUGCAAUAAACCCAACUCUACUAGUUUUUUUUUUUUAAUAGACCCACUCUUGCCACAAAGGACUUCAUGACCUUUCUUAAAAAACUAAAGGUUUACAGAUAUAAGUAUUGCUUCAGAGCAGAUUAUACAUGAAAUAUACAACAGAAAAUGUGACCUUUGACCUUUACAAGUGUAUAGAUAUAAUAAGUUUCCUUGUAAUGAUCAUUUAAUUCUCAGCAGUGUUUAGAAGCUUUGCAAAUUCAGCUCUGAAUAAAUAAAUUUUAAUGUUCUUUUUUUUUAAUGUUGAUAAAUAUUUGAGUCUCCUGUGGCAUGAAAUAUAUGUAUAUUUGCACAAGAAUAAUAGGUGAAUUACUUUAUUGAAGUAAGCUUUAAUAUCACGUGUAGUAGUGUUUAGUAGUUAUGUUUUUAUGUGAUCACCUAGACCAACAUUCUUGACUCGUCACCAGCUUAGGUGGUGAUAAUUUGUGGCUUUGGGGAAGUUAUCAAACUUACAUAUUUUUAAGUGUAAAUUUUUCCUUGA
rnacentral:lncRNA from 1 species